rfam:Vigna radiata var. radiata cultivar VC1973A scaffold_1200, whole genome shotgun sequence
GGGUCUGUAGCUCAGCUGGUUAGAGCACCGUCUUGAUAAGGCGGGGGUCGUUGGUUCGAGUCCAACCAGACCCA